AGAACGAACGCUGGCGGCAUGCCUAACACAUGCAAGUCGAACGAGACCUUCGGGUCUAGUGGCGCACGGGUGCGUAACGCGUGGGAAUCUGCCCUUGGGUCCGGAAUAACAGUGAGAAAUUACUGCUAAUACCGGAUGAUGACGUAAGUCCAAAGAUUUAUCGCCCAGGGAUGAGCCCGCGUAAGAUUAGGUAGUUGGUGGGGUAAAGGCCUACCAAGCCGACGAUCUUUAGCUGGUCUGAGAGGAUGAUCAGCCACACUGGGACUGAGACACGGCCCAGACUCCUACGGGAGGCAGCAGUGGGGAAUAUUGGACAAUGGGCGAAAGCCUGAUCCAGCAAUGCCGCGUGAGUGAUGAAGGCCCUAGGGUUGUAAAGCUCUUUUACCCGGGAUGAUAAUGACAGUACCGGGAGAAUAAGCCCCGGCUAACUCCGUGCCAGCAGCCGC
rnacentral:rRNA from 1 species